GAGUUUGCAGCUUUGUGGUCUUGGUUUUGCAAAAACCAUUGAAGAUAUUAUUUAUCUCAAACUCU
rnacentral:tRNA from 1 species